CUGCAUCUCAUGUGCGGCGAGACUAUAAUGAAGCAGCCAACCUUUUGGGCAAGAGGGGGCCAUGCUUCCAUACUUCCAUUCUUGGUCCAUGGUGGUUCCUCCUGAUAUAGACGCAGUGGUUAGACAGGUUAGCCACAGGAGGUUUGAUCCCAGAUCAUGGCUCUUUUGGUUAGAGGAGGUGCGUGCAUCUGCUGAAGGAUGAGCAUCUGCAGAAGGUAAUAUCCUCUGCCUACGUCGUUGAUCUCGCUAACAGCAAUUGAUGGGCUGUUGGCGUGAGCUUCGGUCCAGAGUAGUAAAGGAGAGCACAAAUCGUGAGUCUCUCCAAUCUGGAGUUGUUAUUCUCUGAUGGCGUGGAAUUUAGUGAGAUGGAAUGUACCGCUAUCGCGUUUCGGGGUCUUGGUGACGCAGCUGGAGGCCAUAGUCGCUUCCGCCGCGCAGCAGUCCCUUAAUCCUCUCCUCUGUUUUGAUCUGCUCUCCGAUCUCAUUUCUGCUAUAGACGAGGAGCCAAAGGAUGUGUAGGGCUUUGAUCGCUGGAGAUGAUGAAACAAUGAGUGAUGAAGCGAUAUGGGAGACCCUUCCUGUAUCCGUAAUGGUAGGACACUGCACUCUAUGGAGAUUAUGUGAGGCUCAAUCAAAGCCUGUCUGGAAAUUUGAUACAUCUGUCUAGGUUUGCAACUGGGUUUCAGGUUGAAGACAGGACAAAUGGAUGGAGAAAAUUCUCAUUGGAAACACAGCUAUGGUGCCCACAAGGAUUCUUGAAUAACCUGCGUCAAACUGUCUAUGAACCGUACAUUAUCAACUGUAGAUUAUCAUCAUCAGAUAGUGUUACAUUUCAUGAUUUCUAUUUUGUAUUAUUCAUUUUAUGUAUGUAUCAACCGUCUCCAGGCCAUUUUCAAGGAUUUAUUUAGGAGGGGAAACAAUAUACUUGUGAGUACUUGAUCUUCUUUAGUGUAUUUUGUGUUGAAUUCUUUUUUGCAGAGGAUGUAGAAUGGUCACCUUUUUCAUGAAGACAACAAUACAACUGAGCUACAAGGUGACCAAUGAAGAAGUCAGUUUCUGAGUUGGACAACAAGCUAAUGAGAGCCAAUAUUGAUCGUCAACAUGUGGGAAUACAAGUAUACUAAAACGAUCUUUCCAAAGGUGAAGAUAUGGGAAACCAUUUGCAUUGAGAGGCUUUGGAAUCAUCUUCUAAGAGUUAUAUUUAACUCACUUUAGUCCUUUGCCACCAUGGAUGAUCUGGAGCAGAAAUCAUGACUGAAAAUUCUUAAGUACACCUGCAGUAAUUGAGGGCUCAUCUGUUGAGGUAAAAGUUUUGUUUUUUGCCAGACCUCAAGAUCCAACUGCCAUGACUAUUUUCUGUUAGAAUGCAGGUUGAUUAGAAUGUAGUGGUCCUAGUGGAUUUCCCAUUUUUCCUCCCUUCAGUUAGGGCAAUUAACUGAUAACAAACAGUUGGUACUGAAGUUAGAAAACCAAUGUCCUACUGAUAUUGGUGUCGUAUCAGCCGCCUUUUUCAAGCAUGUGAAGCUUAAUCCUGGUGAAGCAUUGUAUCUUGGCGCGUCUGGCCUGUCGAUUAUCAUAAGAGUUCAUAUUACCAACUAUGUAUCAACUAUCAACUCUUUGGAUGACCAUUCUUUAUAGGAGGUAAAAGCAAAUUAUGCCUGCUAAAAGUUCCAAUAUAAAGCCUUAAAUUACCAAACAGAAAACCGUUAUCCCUUGUUAAUACAUUUCAAAACAAACAAAUUUCAAUGUAUGAUACUUGAUUAUAGUUAUGGUUAUGUUAAUGGGCUGCACUGUUGAUAUUUUAUCUUUGUUUGCACAUGAAUUAAUCCGGGUGAGAAUUCACAUCAUCUUUGAAUUAGUUUCCAUAAUCUGAUCUGAUCAGCACAUGAAUGUGGAAGGUCUUAAAGCAGUAGAAUUUGCAGUACACUCUGGCUCCUGACAAUGACUUUCUUGGCUGAGAGCAAACAAGUUGCACAAGUGACUUUCUUGGAUAUGAGCAAAAAAGUUGAUGCGGUUAUUAUUGAGGAUUCUUAUCUUAUGCCACCCCAUAUGUGUGUAUGCAAAGGCAGACUAACAUGCAAUCAAGUAUGGAUGUCCUGUUAUCUGGUGCUUCUCAUGCUCUGAGGAACAAGAGACUAUUCUCUUGUGGGUUUCAACUACUUUACCUGUAUUUGAAAAUUUAAAUUCCCGGAUGCCACAACUUUGUUCCUUCGUUCACGGUUAUUCAACAACAUAACCCACCAACUACAAUAUGGGAGGAAUCUAUCAUUUUUCAUGUAUUUUGAUUCCAGAAAAAUAUUGUGGAUUGCAAUUGUUUUCAAUUUAUUUGUCAUCUGUGAUAAA